UAAACUGAUUUCACCUAUAAAAGCCUCCAUCCUUUAACGCCUAUUCAUCCCAAAAUCAAUUCUUCUCAUUGAGCUUUCUACUUAAUUCAGCUUCCCAAUCUUGAGCUUCUUCUCAAUCAUAUUCUACAGCAGCUGAACAAUAGAAUAAUCUCAUAAUAAUUUCAUAAAACAAAGGAUCGCCUUUUACUCAACCAUCGACUGGCUUUGUGGAUCGUGAGGACUAGCACUGCUAUACCAAUUCAGAGUUAAGAAUAAACGACAGGCUUUGCCUAUUCAGGUGGGCUUAUUUUCCAAAUGUAUGAUUUAGCUAUUGAGCUUAAAUAUUUCAAUGAAAUGAAAACUGUUUAUCCAAUAAAUAUUUUUGUGCACUCUGCUCUGUUUAAGGCUCGCAUAAGUUAAUCGAUCGAGGUUCUCUUAUGACCUAACACGUUGUUUGAGAAUUGUGUACACCUAUUAGCUGACUCGGUGGGUUGAUCUCCAUCGGGCACUAAUCAUGUAUGAGGCGUUAUAAGGGUGCUCGACGGGAUGUGUUCCGGAGCAUUGGGUCCCAAAUGGGAGCUUGGCUGGGUUACGCCCUCAGUCCAAGUAAAGCAGGAGUAAUGGAUCCGUCGGUGGCUAAAAGGUCCGGGAUCACAGCGAGUAACGGAAAGGGAGUGUGACAAUUGCGCGCAAUAUAAUAAAAUGUUUUAACAUGCUUAGAAGUUAUUUUUGUUUUAAAACCUUCUAAGUCAUGUAAAGUAUAAUUGGAUAAACUGCUCUUAUGAUUAUGAAAUAUUUAUAAAAAUGCUAGCCCACUAAGUACAUUAGUACUUAGCCCAAAAUUUCUUUCAAAUGUUUUCAGGUUGAUUGGUCGGUGCUGACGGGGCAGAGCUGAGGCUAGGGUUCAACUCCGUAUUUUGUCUUCCGCUGUUGCACUAGCUCUUAUUUGUCUUUUAUUUCUCCAACUUAAGACUUUUAUGUUAAAUUCUGAAUUAUGUUUUCUUAUCGAGCUUAAACUCUCAACUUCUAGCUCUAUGUUAUUAACGUUGGUUAUCGGAAGCAUGAAACCGAACUUGUGAUCCUAAGGCUUAGAAUGUUGUUGAUUGAUUAAUAUCACUUGAUUUUUGUCUUUCUUCA